rnacentral:rRNA from 1 species
UACGUAGGGUGCAAGCGUUAAUCGGAAUUACUGGGCGUAAAGCGUGCGCAGGCGGUUGUGCAAGACAGAUGUGAAAUCCCCGGGCUUAACCUGGGAACUGCACUUGAAACUACGAUGCUGGAGUAUGGCAGAGGGAGGUGGAAUUCCACGUGUAGCGGUGAAAUGCGUAGAGAUGUGGAGGAACACCGAUGGCGCAAGGCAGCCCCCUGGGAU